AAGCAACAAAAACAAAACGACGUCGUAAUCUGACUAAUAUCCAUCGACGUUUGUCCUACUGUACUCUCUUCGCUGCAUCCUCACAAUUUCCCUCAAUUGCACUCUCCACCUGCAAAACCAAUCGUCCGAUCUGAUAUCAGCGUUUUAAAUAUCUCCGGCACCGUCCAGACUUUCAAUGGCUCCCGUUGUUCCUAGAUCCGGUGAUGCUAUAUUCGCCAACUUUGAGCGUGUGAACGCUGAGUUGUUUACUUUGACGUAUGGAGCGAUAGUGCGACAGUUGCUUACAGAUCUGGAAGAGGUUGAGGAAGUUAAUAAGCAGCUUGAUCAAAUGGGUUACAAUAUUGGAAUCCGGCUGAUCGAUGAGUUUCUUGCGAAAUCUAAUGUGACUAGAUGUGUUGAUUUUAGGGAAACCGCUGAAGUCAUUGCCAAGGUUGGCUUCAAAAUGUUUUUAGGGGUAACGGCAUCCGUGAGUAACUGGGAUACAGAGGGAACUUGUUGCAGUCUCAUUUUGGAGGAUAACCCGCUUGUAGACUUUGUCGAGCUUCCAGACACCUGCCAAGGUUUAAAUUACUGUAGCAUUCUAAGUGGAGUUGUUAGGGGAGCUUUAGAGAUGUUGCUGAUUUAUUAAAGUCAUGAGUGAUUCACAAAAUAAAGUCGGGAAGAAGACGGGCAAAACAUCAUUACUCAAAAAGUUAAUAAGGAAAUUGAACGAAAAGCUAUCAAAGUUAAACCAACAACAUACCGGUGUUUUGCCCUUCUUCUUCCCGACUUUAUUAUUUUGUGAAUCACUCAUGACUUUAAUAAAUCAGCAGGUAUAUCCAAAAUCAAAACACAAUUUAAGAAACAAAUCUAAAUAAAAGCUAUCACAUUUAACUGUCAGUCAACUAAAGAAAGAAGCUGAAAUGAAGUAGAUUCCAUAAAUAUGAAGUAAUGCUUUUUCAAACAAGGAGUUGUAGUUCUAAUCUGGUUGCUCUCAUUUCCAGUGCUUAUUAUCAAGUUUAAUUAUGUUGAAAACUGUACUCAGUUCAACCAUCAAUACAUGAGUUGGAAGCAAGUUAUUAAUUUUAACCGAUACAUGAGUUCUUAAUCUGAUUGAUUAUAUUUUUUUUCAGUAGAAUUAAUCAAGAAACAAAAAUCUACAUAUCAAGAAACAAAAACUCAGUUGGCGGUCAAACAAAAAUCUAACUAAAAAUCUAUAUAUCAAGAAACAGCAACUAUAUCCAAAAAACAAAACGAGAUUCUGAUUAAGCAUAUCAUCAAACAGUUGGCGGUCAAACAUAAGGCACGACAGUGUCCGAUGAUGAAGGUCUUACCUUAACCCAACUGUUUAAACAAAACGAGAUUCUGAUUAAAGUGUCUUACCUUAACCCAGCUGUUUUCACGCUAUCCGAUGAUGAAGGUCGAUUAGCCAAUGUCCGAUGAUGAAGGUCGAAGGGAUGAGCGGCGAUGAAGGUCGAAGGGAUGGCCGGCGAUGAAGGUCGAAGGGAUGGCAGGCGAUGAAGGUCGAAGGGGUGAGCGGCGACUGAAUUAGGAAAUUAGGGUUUGGUUAUUUUGGAGCGUGAAGUGAAGGAUGGAUUUCAAAAUUUUGGGUGUCGAUGAAGACUGAAGUCACAUGGGUCAGGGAUAUGCUUAGAGGAGAUGAUGCGUUUGAGUUUCAGGUGAAGCUUCUUAAACAAGUUCCAGAGGAAUAUCCGUACAAAGAUGACGAGUAACAUGUUUUCUUUAAUCGUUAUCUUUAUUAAUGUAUAUACAUUAUGAUUUUUACAUUUCCGUUUCGGUUUGUAAUAAAAUGAUAACGUAUUCCUCAAGUACUUUUGACUUAUGUUUUAUUAUGCUAGAACAUGUUUUGUUUUGA